rnacentral:tRNA from 1 species
AAGGUUUUAAGUUAUAUAAACUAUUAACCUUCAAAGUUUACAUUAAGCAAUAUUUUAAGCUUAAACCUUA